GCCGGAGGUUGGGGGGGGCGGGGUUGCAGGUGCCCUGGGCGCGUCGAGGGGUCCUCACCAUUUCACUGGUCGCAGGAAAAACAGGCCACAGAGAAUGGUAUCUUACAGAUUUACACAUAGCAGAGGAGUCAGAACGCGCCGCGGAUGGCCCGGCUCUGGGAGACAGCCUAUCCCAGAUAGGUCGGCGCGGGGACCCGGCCACCAGCACCUCCGUCCCCGCGAGGCCGAGGGAGGGUCCGCGGCGGCAGCAGCUCCAGCCCGCGCUCAGUAGCCUGUAGCAGUAACAAACGUGUGGCUCUGAAUGCGGAUGGCGGUCUCAGAGUACCUGUGUUCCUGCACGUUUACGGACACAUCCACGACCCAAAAAAGAUCAACUUUUUUUCCAAACAACAAAAAAAUGAAUGAUUACGAUAGGAAAGGGAAAAAUUAAAUAGCUACAUAUCAUUAACAAAUUAAUUGUUCUUCAAAAAA